rnacentral:rRNA from 1 species
GCAAGAUUAAAACUCAAAGGAAUAGACGGGGACCCGCACAAGUGGUGGAGCAUGUGGUUUAAUUCGAAGAUACGCGAAGAACCUUACCUAGCCUUGACAUAUUUUAGAACUCCGUAGAGAUACAGAGGUGCCUUCGGGAGCUAAUUUGCAGGUGCUGCACGGCUGUCGUCAGCUCGUGUCGUGAGAUGUUGGGUUAAGUCCCGCAACGAGCGCAACCCUCGUCACUAGUUACUAACGGUUCGGCCGAGGACUCUAGUGAGACUGCCUUCGUAAGGAGGAGGAAGGUGAGGACGACGUCAAGUCAUCAUGGCCCUUACGGCUAGGGCAACACACGUGCUACAAUGGCCAGGACAGUGAGAAGCGAUACCGCGAGGUGGAGCAAAUCUAUAAACCUGGUCUCAGUUCGGAUUGUAGUCUGCAACUCGACUACAUGAAGCUGGAAUCACUAGUAAUCGUAGAUCAGCUAUGCUACGGUGAAUACGUUCCCGGGUCUUGUACUCACCGCCCGUCACACCAUGGGAGUUGAUUUCACCCGAAGCGGGGAAGCUAAACUGGCUACCCUCCACGGUGGAAUCAGCGACUGGGGUGAAGUCGUAACAAGGUA